UGGGGAAUAUUGGACAAUGGGCGAAAGCCUGAUCCAGCCAUGCCGCGUGUGUGAAGAAGGUCUUCGGAUUGUAAAGCACUUUAAGUUGGGAGGAAGGGCUGCAAGUUAAUACCUUGUAGUUUUGACGUUACCAACAGAAUAAGCACCGGCUAACUUCGUGCCAGCAGCCGCGGUAAUACGAAGGGUGCAAGCGUUAAUCGGAAUUACUGGGCGUAAAGCGCGCGUAGGUGGUUUGGUAAGAUGGAUGUGAAAUCCCCGGGCUCAACCUGGGAACUGCAUCCAUAACUGCCUGACUAGAGUACGGUAGAGGGUGGUUGAAUUUCCUGUGUAGCGGUGAAAUGCGUAGAUAUAGGAAGGAACACCAGUGGCGAAGGCGACCACCAGGACUGAUACUGACACUGAGGUGC
rnacentral:rRNA from 1 species